GAUACCCCUGUAGUCCCAGCCGUAAACUAUGCUCGCUAGGUGUCAGGCAUGGCGCGACCGUGUCUGGUGCCGCAGGGAAGCCGUGAAGCGAGCCACCUGGGAAGUACGGCCGCAAGGCUGAAACUUAAAGGAAUUGGCGGGGAGCACCACAACGGGUGGAGCCUGCGGUUUAAUUGGACUCAACGCCGGGAAGCUCACCGGAUAAGACAGCGGAAUGAUUGCCGGGCUGAAGACUCUGCAUGACUAGCUG
rnacentral:rRNA from 1 species